CCCGACGAUCUUCUCACUGCUGGAGAUGCUAAGGUGGAGCCAGGGGCUAUCCUGUUAAUGGAUCAAGAUAAUCACGACGAACCUUAUGCAAAGAACUUUCCCACAUGGAGAGUGGAGAUCAUUGUCUCAUGUAAGGAAUCUCCCAAUGUUUUUCUGCCACUAAGGUUGAAGGAUGUUAAUCAUGAUGAUAAGGCAGACAUUGGGAGAGAUCUCAAGACGCAUGUGCCAUCAUGCACAUUACUAAUGCAAAGGAGACUAAAGUCAAAACUAUUGGAUUUAUUCCACUAGCUUUUGGAGAUGACUUAAUUUUUCCAUCUUAUUGAUGAUAUUUUGUUCAUGCUCCUAGUUAUUGGAGAACCUUAACUCUCAAACAGAUGAGGUGAUUUUGUAUGUUAUUAAGUCAACUCCAAUUAUGUAAUGUUAGUCCCACCUUGGUGA